rnacentral:rRNA from 1 species
CCUACGGGAGGCAGCAGUGGGGAAUAUUGGACAAUGGGCGAAAGCCUGAUCCAGCAAUGCCGCGUGAGUGAUGAAGGCCUUAGGGUCGUAAAGCUCUUUUACCAGGGAUGAUAAUGACAGUACCUGGAGAAUAAGCUCCGGCUAACUCCGUGCCAGCAGCCGCGGUAAUACGGAGGGAGCUAGCGUUGUUCGGAAUUACUGGGCGUAAAGCGUGCGUAGGCGGUUAUUCAAGUCAGAGGUGAAAGCCCGGGGCUCAACCCCGGAACGGCCUUUGAAACUAGAUAACUAGAAUCUUGGAGAGGUCAGUGGAAUUCCGAGUGUAGAGGUGAAAUUCGUAGAUAUUCGGAAGAACACCAGUGGCGAAGGCGACUGACUGGACAAGUAUUGACGCUGAGGUACGAAAGCGUGGGGAGCAAACAGGAUUAGAUACCCUGGUAGUCCACGCCGUAAACGAUGAUAACUAGCUGUCCGGACACUUGGUGUUUGGGUGGCGCNGCUACGACAUUAAGUUAUACCGUCCGUCGGGAGGUACGGUCGCGAGAAGUAAACUAACAAAUAGAAGUUAGUAACGGUCGUGUUAGACGUGCCGAGGACGACGACGAGGGAGGAGG